UACGAAGGGGGCUAGCGUUGCUCGGAAUUACUGGGCGUAAAGGGAGCGUAGGCGGAUAGUUCAGUCAGAGGUGAAGCCCAGGGCUCAACCUUGGAACUGCCUUUGAUACUGGCUAUCUUGAGUUUGGGAGAGGUGUGUGGAACUCCGAGUGUAGAGGUGAAAUUCGUAGAUAUUCGGAAGAACACCAGUGGCGAAGGCGACACACUGGCCCAAUACUGACGCUGAGGCUCGAAAGCGUGGGGAGCAAACAGGG
rnacentral:rRNA from 1 species